GACGAACGCUGGUGGCGUGCUUAACACAUGCAAGUCGAACGGUGAAGCUCAGCUUGCUGGGUGGAUCAGUGGCGAACGGGUGAGUAACACGUGAGCAACCUGCCCCCUACUUCGGGAUAAGCCUUGGAAACGGGGUCUAAUACCGGAUAUGAACACUUGCCGCAUGGUGGGUGUUGGAAAGUUUUUCGGUGGGGGAUGGGCUCGCGGCCUAUCAGCUUGUUGGUGGGGUAAUGGCCUACCAAGGCGUCGACGGGUAGCCGGCCUGAGAGGGCGACCGGCCACACUGGGACUGGGACACGGCCCAGACUCCUACGGGAGGCAGCAGUGGGGAAUAUUGCACAAUGGGCGAAAGCCUGAUGCAGCGACGCCACGUGAGGGAUGACGGCCUUCGGGUUGUAAACCUCUUUCAGCAGGGAAGAAGCGAGAGUGACGGUACCUGCAGAAGAAGCGCCGGCUAACUACGUG
rnacentral:rRNA from 1 species